rnacentral:rRNA from 1 species
ACGCUCGACACCUACGGGGGGCAGCAGUGGGGAAUAUUGGGCAAUGGGCGCAAGCCUGACCCAGCAACGCCGCGUGAAGGAAGAAGGCUUUCGGGUUGUAAACUUCUUUUGUCAGGGAAGAGCAGAAGACGGUACCUGACGAAUAAGCCACGGCUAACUACGUGCCAGCAGUCGCGGUAAUCUGAGCGGGCUGGCAAGGC